AGACAAGCGUGUCCGUAGUAUGUUGCUCGCCGUAUCAAUGUCCAUUUCUUGUUCUUUUCAUCUCACGUGGUUUUCGUAAUUGCCAAUUUUUUAAUUGAUUAUGGUGGUGAAAUUUGGCUUGCUAUCACUAUUGCUGUUUUGCUGCUUUAAAUCGUAAUAAAUGAAAAGAAUUACUAAUGCCAAUAGGUUGGUUGGUUGAGGGCUGAUGACCAGACGAUUUGAACCUUGAACGUACGUGGCGUACAAUCCCCGUGUGUCAGUGAAUCAUGAUGAUUCACGCACAUGGGGACCUGCAGAUCCGCCAACUCGAGGAAUCCGAUCAAGGAUGUGUCAGUUCAGUUGAAUGUAACAGAUCAACACAGCCGUGAUGAAGAAGCAAAUCAAGUUCAGGUGCCCCCGGAUAUUGUCGACGAUCGAAUUACGGGUGACGUCAUUGACAACGAAGGCGACAACGUGACGCUGACGUGCAUAGCCAAGGGCAAACUUAAUCCGAGGGGCGUCGUGAAGACAACCAAAAAGAGUCGUAGUGGAACGAAGAUAUUCAAAAAAUGGCAGUAAAUCAGAUGGAACAACAUCCAUUAAGCCUAUUGUUGUUCCAGAACUGCAGACUUUUACAACUAACUUCAACGACCUACGAUAGUGAAGACGAGGGAACGAUUCAAAGUUUUAUUAUUCAAGAAGUGGACGCUUGUGAUGGUGAAACAUUAAGACUAUACCGCGUGACAAGUCACAUGAAGACGUCUUACCCGCAGUCAGCAAACGUGUGCAGCUCACCGUUAACUUUCCACCCGUGGUGACGUCGUCGAUGGGCGUGGUGGCUGUUCUGCUAAACACCGAUGUCCGUCUGACAUGCCGAGAAUCAGUUACUGGAUGAAGGGAAGUCAACAAGCACAACACAAUACAAUUUGUGUCAAGCCCCAAGUACAACAUCGACGACGGUGAAAGAGCCCUCUCGCUGGACAGUAUUUUGAGUGUAAAAAAUUAUCAAACAGAAGUGACCAGACCGGUGAGCGGAUCCACACCCAACAGCUGUCUGACAGUUUCGUUUGACAGCAACAUCGCCAUGGAAGAUGGGCAAAGUUGGUGCAUACUUCAUAGAAAGGACGAAGACUCUAGUGGGGAACGAAUGUGAUUGGCAUGACAGAUGAAGACAGCCAUCAGUCAAUUUAGAAUGUUGUCGAGACUAUUUAGAUACCCCAACAGACUUAAUGUGCAGCAAAGUGACACAUUCCGUGGGAGUGUUUGAGCGGAAGUAGUCCAAUCCGGGGGAGGGUUUGUAUAAUCGAGCGACUCGUAAAUAGAAUAACGUUCUGCUGUGGUUCGAACUUUUCAAUUUUGCUCGAUUUCUCUGUAGAAAUAAAUGACGGAUUCAUUUCAA
rnacentral:misc_RNA from 1 species